rnacentral:rRNA from 1 species
GAUGAACGCUGGCGGCGUGCUUAACACAUGCAAGUCGAACGAUGAACCUCACUUGUGGGGGGAUUAGUGGCGAACGGGUGAGUAACACGUGAGUAACCUGCCCUUAACUCUGGGAUAAGCCUGGGAAACUGGGUCUAAUACCGGAUAUGACUCCUCAUCGCAUGGUGGGGGGUGGAAAGCUUUUUGUGGUUUUGGAUGGA